rnacentral:rRNA from 1 species
AACGAACGCUGGCGGCGUGGAUAAGACAUGCAAGUCGAACGAUCACUAUUGGGUAGCAAUAUUUGGUAGUGGGAGUGGCGCAAGGGUGCGUAACACGUGGGUAAUUUGCCGUAAAGUCUGGGAUAACUUGCUGAAAGGCGAGCUAAUACCGGAUGUGAUUGCUGGGGGGCAUCCUCUGGCACUUAAAGUCGGGGACCGUAAGGCCUGACACUUUUCGAUAAGCCCGCGGCCUAUCAGCUAGUUGGUGAGGUAACGGCUCACCAAGGCUAAGACGGGUAGCUGGUCUGAGAGGACGACCAGCCACACUGGAACUGAGACACGGUCCAGACACCUACGGGUGGCAGCAGUCGAGAAUUUUUCUCAAUGGGGGAAACCCUGAAGGAGCGACGCCGCGUGGGGGAUGAAUGGCUUCGGCCCGUAAACCCCUGUCAUUCGCGAAUAAUUGUUACAGUUGAACAGGCUGUGACUUGAUAGUAGCGGAAGAGGAAGGGACGGGCUAACUCUGUGCCAGCAGCCG